CUGACUUGAGUGCAGCUUUUUGUCACCGUCCCCGCCUGCUGCCGCCAGCUCUCGUCCACUUUACAGGCGCGGCGCAGUUCAUCUCGAACAAGCCUGUU